ACUCCUACGGGAGGCAGCAGUGGGGAAUUUUGGACAAUGGGCGAAAGCCUGAUCCAGCAAUGCCGCGUGAGUGAAGAAGGCCUUCGGGUUGUAAAGCUCUUUUGUCAGGGAAGAAUCGGUGAAAGCUAAUAUCUUUUGCUAAUGACGGUACCUGAAGAAUAAGCACCGGCUAACUACGUGCCAGCAGCCGCGGUAAUACGUAGGGUGCAAGCGUUAAUCGGAAUUACUGGGCGUAAAGCGUGCGCAGGCGGUUUUGUAAGUCUGAUGUGAAAUCCCCGGGCUCAACCUGGGAAUUGCAUUGGAGACUGCAAUGCUAGAAUCUGGCAGAGGGGGGUAGAAUUCCACGUGUAGCAGUGAAAUGCGUAGAUAUGUGGAGGAACACCGAUGGCGAAGGCAGCCCCCUGGGUCAAGAUUGACGCUCAUGCACGAAAGCGUGGGGAGCAAACAGGAUUAGAAACCCGAGUAGUCCCA
rnacentral:rRNA from 1 species